AAGUUGGACUUGUACCAACUGGAUGAGCAGCGAACGGGUGAGUAACGCUGGGGAAUCUGCCUUUGAGCGGGGGACAACAUUUGGAAACGAAUGCUAAUACCGCAUAAAAACUUUUAAACACAAGUUUUAAGUUUGAAAGAUGCAAAUUGCAUCACUCAAAGAUGAUCCCGCGUUGUAUUAGCUAGUUGGUGAGGUAAAGGGCUCACCAAGGCCGAUGAUACAUAGCCGACCCCUGAGAGGGUGAUCGGCCACAUUGGGACUGAGACACGGCCCCAAACUCC
rnacentral:rRNA from 1 species